CACGCAGGCGGUCUAACAAGUUCGGUGUGAAAUCUCUCGGCUUAACUGGGAGCGGUCGCCGAAAACUGUUGGACUUGAGUCAAUGAGAGGGAUGCGGAAUUCCAGGUGUAGUGGUGGAAUGCGUAGAUAUCUGGAGGAACACCAGUGGCGAAAGCGGCAUCCUGGCAUUGAACUGACGCUCAUGUGCGAAAGCGUGGGUAGCGAACG
rnacentral:rRNA from 1 species